UGCCCUAGUAACGGCGAGUGAAGCGGCAACAGCUCAAAUUUGAAAUCUGGCGCAAGCCCGAGUUGUAAUUUGUAGAGGAUGUUUCUGGCGACGUACCUUCCGAGUUCCCUGGAACGGGACGCCAUAGAGGGUGAGAGCCCCGUACGGUUGGUUGCCUAGCCUCUGUGAAACUCCUUCGACGAGUCGAGUAGUUUGGGAAUGCUGCUCUAAAUGGGAGGUAUACGUCUUCUAAAGCUAAAUACCGGCCAGAGACCGAUAGCGCACAAGUAGAGUGAUCGAAAGAUGAAAAGCACUUUGAAAAGAGGGUUAAAUAGUACGUGAAAUUGUUGAAAGGGAAGCGUUUAUGACCAGACUUGGGCAGGUUGAUCAUCCGUGGUUCUCCGCGGUGCACUCUGCCUGCCCAGGCCAGCAUCAGUUCAGUUCGGGGGAUAAAGGCUUCGGGAAUGUAGCUCCCUCGGGAGUGUUAUAGACCGUUGCGUAAUACCCUGAUCUGGACUGAGGUUCGCGCUCUGCAAGGAUGCUGGCGUAAUGGUCAUCAGCGACCCGUCUUGAAACACGGACCAAGGAGUCGUCUUCGUAUGCGAGUGUUCGGGUGUCAAACCCCUACGCGUAAUGAAAGUGAACGUAGGAGAGAGCUUCGGCGCAUCUCCGACCGAUCCUGAUGUUCUCG
rnacentral:rRNA from 1 species